rnacentral:rRNA from 1 species
AGAUUGAACGCUGGCGGCAUGCCUUACACAUGCAAGUCGAACGGCAGCACGGGAGCAAUCCUGGUGGCGAGUGGCGAACGGGUGAGUAAUACAUCGGAACGUGCCCAAUCGUGGGGGAUAACGCAGCGAAAGCUGUGCUAAUACCGCAUAAGAUCUACGGAUGAAAGCAGGGGAUCGCAAGACCUUGCGCGAAUGGAGCGGCCGAUGGCAGAUUAGGUAGUUGGUGAGGUAAAGGCUCACCAAGCCUUCGAUCUGUAGCUGGUCUGAGAGGACGACCAGCCACACUGGGACUGAGACACGGGCCCAGACUCCGUACGGGAGGCAGCAGGUGGGGGAAUCGUUGCGCAAGUGGGACGAAAGCCUGACGCAGCAACGCCGCGUGCGGGAU